UUGCCUAAGGAGGGGUGAACCGG
rnacentral:piRNA from 1 species